CUGAAGAAAAGCCCACGGCGGAUUAGCUAGUUGGUGAGGUAAUGGCUCACCAAGGCGACGAUCCGUAACCGGCCUGAGAGGGCGGUCGGUCACACUGACACUGAACAACGGGUCAGACUCCUACGGGAGGCAGCAGUCGGGAAUUUUGGGCAAUGGGCGCAAGCCUGACCCAGCAACGCCGCGUGAAGGAUGAAAUCCUUCGGGAUGUAAACUUCGCAAGAAUGGGAAGAAUAAGUUUGAGCCAAUACCUCAAACGAUGACGGUACCAUUUGUAAGCUCCGGCUAACUCCGUGCCAGCAGCCGCGGUAAUACGGGGGGAGCAAGCGUUGUUCGGAUUUACUGGGCGUAAAGGGCGCGUAGGCGGCCACGACAAGUCACUUGUGAAAUCUCCGGGCUUAACUCGGAUAGGUCAAGUGAUACUGUCGGGCUAGAGUGCGGAAGGGGCAACUGGAAUUCUCGGUGUAGCGGUGAAAUGCGUAGAUAUCGAGAGGAACACCUGCGGCGAAGGCGGGUUGCUGGGCCGACACUGACGCUGAGGCGCGAAAGCUAGGGGAGCGAACG
rnacentral:rRNA from 1 species